AAAAAAAAGGCAACAACAAAAGAAAAACGUAAAACAAAAAAAAAAUGGUUGUCUCGAGAGAAAAGUCGAUUUGACAACAUAGAUCAGAUUCAGAAGAUGAUGGAUCAGACAACAUAUAUUUUCCAAUUAUGAAAACCCAGAGUAAGAUCCAUCAUUUAUCGAGAUUAAUCGACUUACCGAUGUCUUCUUCAAUUGAUAAGUGAGCGUUUUAGUAGAGCUUGAAAAUCUACAAACGAAUAUGGGUCUUCUAUAUGUAGGAACUCGAAUGACGACCCACUCAUAACAUUCAAAGGCUUGCACCAAAUUUACAUCUUGGUGUUCUUCUUCGCCAUCUCUCAUAUCUUCUAUAGUUUAAUCACCAUGAUGCUUAGCAGACUCAAGAUUCGUGGAUGUUCUGACUGUGGGAGAAAGAAAUAUUAUGUCACGCAUUAUUGACUAUGAGUUUUCUAUUGACUGGCAUUUGUUUUGUGUGGUGUAGAUCAUUCAAGACUUAGACUCACUCAUGAGACUUCUUUUGUGAGAGAACAUAUAAGUUUCUGGACAACCAUUACUUUCUUCUUUUACGUCGGAUGCUUACUAAGGCAGUUAUUUGUAUAUGUGAGAAGAACCGAGUACUUCACUCUGCGUCAUGGAUUCAUCUCUGCUCAUUUGGCCCUACUGUUAAAGUUCAACUUCCAGAGUUAUAUCUAACGAUCUCUCGAGGACGAUUUCAAGUUGGUAGUUGGAAUAAGGUUAGAGCAAAAAUCAAGUUAAAACAAAAACUGUGCUUCUUUAUCUGAUCUUAUAUAACUGUUUCUUUUGCUCCGGUUUGACCCACCUUAUUUAUAUUCAUCAUUUAUUUGAUCUUAGUUAAGGUAAGGAAGCUAGCAUCAGAAACAGGGUCACUGUCCAUGACCAUAGUUCCAUUGGUAAAUGACAUCUUGUACAGAUGCGUGGUUGGUCUGAAUUGACCAGUUGCAUAGCUGAGUGCAAAUGUCUCAAUGAAAACCCAGUUACCAAUAGGAAGUCUAUUGACAUAUUUGUUUAGCAAUUCCUUCUUCACAGAUGCAUGAAUCUUUUUACUCUGCAUCAAUGAAAGACAUAAGAUGCAUUAGUAAUAAAAAAUAAUUGUAUGUUUCGAAAACGUAAACAGUAGACCUUACCAUCGAGUCUGACAACACCAACUCAAGUGUUUCACCACCAUUUAGACGCCAUGAAUGGAUGACCUUGACUUGAGCCCUCCAUGAGGUUUUGUAGGGGCGAACGUCUUUCAAGAAAGCAAAGGUAGCAGCCAUAAUGUUGAUUGAUAUAUGAGUAGCGUAAUUGUUGGAGCAGAUUUUUGGAAAUCAAGCAGUUUAAACAGAAUUCUUGGAGAAGAUUGUAAGGCAAGAAAAUCUUUCUCAUUUAAUUGUUAAGAAUAAACGGGUGAGAGGAGAAGGUAUAAUCGUGUUCUGUAUAGUGUUACAACUUUCGAUAGAGGCUGGGCUUGGCCCAAUUGUUUUUUGUAAUCAACAAAUCAUGUGACCCAAGAAGAAUAAUUGUAAUAGAAGGUAUUAAAGACAGUGGCAGGGUUAUAAAUAAGUUGGAAAUCCAGGAUUUAUUCUAUAAAUGUUUCUGAAAA